rnacentral:precursor_RNA from 13 species
AUGACCUCAGGUCACACGCAGCACGGGGUGUGGAGGUCGCACGUCUUGCUGUAUGAUGCUGGAACACACAGCAUGGCGUGUGACCUCCGGACACAGCGCUGCGUGUCCGGCCAGACGUAGG